rfam:Gossypium hirsutum cultivar TM-1 unplaced genomic scaffold scaffold251.1, whole genome shotgun sequence
GUUGAGGGGAAUGCUGUCUGGUUCGAGACCAUUCGUUCCGAAGGUCUUGGAAGACUCGGUUUCGAAUGAUCUCGGACCAGGCUUCAUUCCCCCUAAC